rnacentral:rRNA from 1 species
AAACAUGUCUUUUUGAAUUAAAUUUAAAGUCUAACCUGCCCACUGAAAUUUUAAAUGGCCGCAGUAUCCUAACUGUGCAAAGGUAGCAUAAUCAUUAGUCUUUUAAUUGAAGGCUGGUAUGAAUGGUUGGACGAGAUACUAACUGUUUCAAUUGAAUUUAUUAUAGAACUUUAUCUUUUAGUCAAAAAGCUAAAAUUUAUUUAAAAGACGAGAAGACCCUAUAAAUCUUUAUACUUUUCUAUGUUUUAAUUAUAAGGAUUUAUUAAAUUAUUAUGUAUAAAAGUAUUUUAUUGGGGUGAUAUUAAAAUUUGAUAAACUUUUAAUUGUUUAAAUCAUUAAUGUAUGAAUAAUUGAUCCGUUUUUAACGAUUAGAAAUUUAAGUUACUUUAGGGAUAACAGCGUAAUUUUUUUGGAGAGUUCAUAUCGAUAAAAAAGAUUGCGACCUCGAUGUUGGAUUAAGAUAUAGAUUUGGGCGCAGCCGUUCAAGUUUUUAGUCUGUUCGACUAUUUGAUUCUUACAUGAUCU